UACGAAGGGGGCGAGCGUUGUUCGGAAUUACUGGGCGUAAAGGGCGCGCAGGCGGCUCUGAAAGUCAGAUGUGAAAGCCCCGGGCUUAACCUGGGAAUUGCAUUUGAUACUCUGGAGCUUGAGUACGGGAGAGGAGAGUGGAAUUCCCAGUGUAGAGGUGAAAUUCGUAGAUAUUGGGAAGAACACCGGUGGCGAAGGCGGCUCUCUGGACCGUAACUGACGCUGAGGCGCGAAAGCGUGGGGAGCAAACAGGAUUAGAUACCCUGGUAGUCCACGCCGUAAACGAUGUGCGCUAGACGUUGGAAGGCUUAGCCUUUCGGUGUCGCAGCUAACGCGAUAAGCGCACCGCCUGGGGAGUACGGCCGCAAGGUUAAA
rnacentral:rRNA from 1 species